GACGAACGCUGGCGGCGUGCUUAGCACAUGCAAGUCGAACGGAAAGGCCCUGCUUUUGUGGGGUGCUCGAGUGGCGAACGGGUGAGUAACACGUGAGUAACCUGCCCUUGACUUUGGGAUAACUUCAGGAAACUGGGGCUAAUACCGGAUAGGAGCUCCUGCUGCAUGGUGGGGGUUGGAAAGUUUCGGCGGUUGGGGAUGGACUCGCGGCUUAUCAGCUUGUUGGUGGGGUAGUGGCUUACCAAGGCUUUGACGGGUAGCCGGCCUGAGAGGGUGACCGGCCACAUUGGGACUGAGAUACGGCCCAGACUCCUACGGGAGGCAGCGGUGGGGAAUAUUGCACAAUGGGCGGAAGCCUGAUGCAGCAACGCCGCGUGCGGGAUGACGGCCUUCGGGUUGUAAACCGCUUUCGCCUGUGACGAAGCGUGAGUGACGGUAAUGGGUAAAGAAGCACCGGCUAACUACGUG
rnacentral:rRNA from 1 species